rnacentral:lncRNA from 1 species
AAAACAUAUAUUAUAUAAAUAUUUAAUAAUCCAAAUAACUCCAUCCAUCCAUAAUCAAACUGUUAAAUAUUAACCAACCAAGUAAUGUAUCUAAGUAGCUAGAAUAGUCAAUUUACAAUUUUGAAAUUGUAAUCGUAGUUUCGAGAACUCUCCCUGUCUCUUACACGUUCACGAUCAUUACCACGGUUGCGAUCAUAAUGCCUAUCUCGGUCUCGGCUCCUAUGAUCAUAAUCCUUUCGAUCGCCUCUAUCAACUCUAUCGCGGUCCUUGCUCGAUCCUCUCUCAUGGUCCAGGCUUUUCUGUUCUUUUGACCUGAAUUGAAAAUAUAAAGUUAACAAUGCAACAUCACUGAAGCAGAGUUCAAGGAGAUAAUAACAUGGAAUUUAUACUAACCUUCUCUCUUCUUCCAAGGCUUUACGUUUCUUGUCUCUCUCUUCCUGAUAAUGAUCCAAAAGAAGAUACAUUUGAAAUGACACAUUAUAAUUCACCCCAGUUAAAGUAUAAUCGAAAUAAAGAAACAUAUUCUUCCCCAUGGCCCACUGAAGGUGCAAACCAACUGAAGAAAUUUUACUGCCCCCUUGGUCAUCUCUGUUUAUCUUACCAAGAAAAUGUAAAUUUAUCAGUUUGAAGCACACUUUCUGAUUUAAAGGAUACAUGCUGUGCUGCUUAACCAGAGAGAUAAAAACAGCAAGCUUCCAGCACAGAUACCUUGAGAUUUAUAAAUGAUUUGACGAGCUAUUAACCAAAGGUCAAUUUGGUACCUUCUAAAAGGUAAGGCAUGUAUACCACAACAGUCGGAAAUUAUCUAACAGAUUAAUGAAAGGAAAUACUUAAGAACAAAGCAUAUAAUGGAUAUUAGAAUUAUUUAGCAAGUGGGAAAUAUGGAGGAGUUGAGGACCAUAUACAUAAACCGUUAGUAAACUAGAAGUUCAAGACCAAGGAAACUAAAAUUAUCACAUUCCGUUGCCAUACCCAAAUGAAGUUAGACCAGAAACCGUUAGCUAGAAUAGUCAUAUAUGGACUUACAUAAAAAGCCACAAACUGCCCAAACAAGAACAUCUCAUUUGAAGCAAAACCCGAACCUGCACAAAGUUCACUUUAAUGCUUUUUGACUAAAUUCAACUGUGAAUUUAACUCAUUUCCAUCCUGCAAGCAUUAUGACUAAAUUCAACUAUGAAGUCUUGAAUUUUCAUUUUAAUUAAUUGCCUGUGAAAUAGGUUGAGAUUAAAAUAAAAUAAUUCUCCUUUAAAUUAAAUACCUUGCUGUAAGAGCAGAGGAAUCAACAUCAUUUACUUCGAAAGAGUGAAGGCUGGGAUUGGGCGCGGAUUUCACCUUCUGUAAUCACAGUGAAAGGAAAUGUUGAGAGUUAAUCGACUUGCAGAGGACUACAACAAAUUAUGCAUCUACUCAUAUAUGUGAAAUUGUGAGUGUGAUAGAACCAAUAAAACAAGAAAAGUAUAAAUGUGAAGAAAAUUGGGACUGAGAAUAUGAAUGUUUGGUAGAUUUUCAGAUGAGAAGAUGCAUUCGAGCAACAACCAUUGCUAUUGCUGCCUAAUUCUCUAUUUUUCAAUAAUACCAACACUCACCUGCUCUGCUCUGAUCCCCAAAAUAGAUCACAUUUGCUGAAGCAACCAAAACAAGAUUGGAAUACCAGAUCAUAGGUAUCAAUAAAGUGCUGAAAGAGAUAGCAAGCAAAGAUAGUGACAAGUGACAGCACCAAACUUACUUCUUUAAUACAUCAACAUUAGGUUUUUCAUCUUCUGUGCUAAGCUUCCCCAAAGGACUUGAACUAAAAUGCUUUAGGAUUCCUACAAUGACAUGUUUAUGCUUUAGGACAAGAUGGUCUCCAUAUCAGAUUUGUUCUUGGAAAUUUCAUCGAUUAGAAAUCGUUAAUCAGUUCAACGCAAUAUGAGAAGCCAAUCUAUCAUUGGAAAAGAACAUGGAUUUUCAAAGGGUCCCCUAGGAUUUUGGGGCUUAAUCCAUGAACCUAGAUAAGCCCUUGCUACAAUGAUAGAUUGGAAAUUGAAAACUAGUAUAAUAUGCUAUCAAGAUGCAAUUAAUAAGCAAAAUACCCGGUAAAGGCAAUAGGAAAUUAGCAGCCCAACAUAAACAAUAAGGACAAUCAAAACAACCAAGUGCCUUCCGGAUAAAUGCAACAGUAUGAAGAAUCAGAAAAUGCAACUAAACUACUCAUAUAUGUUAAUUGGUCAGUUAAAGUGAAAAAUUUAGAUUAAGCUGAAAUUUGAAAUUUCAGUAGCAAAGAUUUUUCACAUUAUAUGCUAAUAAGUGAUAUGAAACAAGUUUAUAAAUCUUAAUUAGGAUAACAUGAUCAUUUAAAACAUGUGUCAGCCUGGAUAAAGCUGAGUUCCUGUUCCUAAAACAAAGGGAAAACAGACACACUCACAAUUACUUGCUUUAUAAUUAGAGCUAGAAAUAGGUUGAAUAUCAUCAUCAAGUAAUGCCAAUUAAUUCACAAAAAGCCAUAAGAAUUCUAACAUGGGCAGUGAACAAAACCUCAACUUUUUCCUAGAACUUGUAAUAAAUCAAUAUUCUAUAGUUAGGGAAAUAGUUAGAGAUUUUGUGCAGACCUCUUUGCUCAUUUCUCACCCUCGAAUCGACAACGUUCGACAUUCGGUCGAUUCCUGAAAUAGGGGAAUAGUUAGGGAAGAAUUAGAACAAGGAUUUAACAUAGAAUAAGUAAAGAAAAAGAACAAAAUAGAAGAAGAAAAUGGGGCAGCAAUAGCCGAGAACCACCACGGCGGAGGUGCAACUGGCAGCGACGACUGCUGGUGCUGCUCGAGUCGCGGCGGUUUGCGGCAGAUGUCGCGGUGAGCCCUAGCGGUGCGUCGUCCGAUACUUGCAUCGCGAGGUACAGCGGAUACCAUUCAUCGGUCCAGUCGUAUGUCGCCGAUGAUUCCUUGUGCUCCGCAGCUUAUCUUCCCGAAUAACGCUCUCAUCGCCCGCCGCAGCCGAGAUUUCCUCGGCGACUGCCGAACUGCUGCGAGCUUUCGAUAGGAGCAGCGAUGAGGAUACCAUAGCAAGGAUACGCAGCGGCGAUUCACGGCGAACGAGAGCAGGGGGUGGAGGGAGAUCGGUGAGGAAGCGUAGAUGGCAAGGGGAGAGAGAACGAGUAAGAGAGAAGGAAUACCUGAAACGGUGAGAGCAGAGGGCGUGAGGAACGGUCGAGCAGCGGCAGCGGCAGCGGCGGCGGCGAGAUUCACCGGAGAAAGAGAAAUUCAAAGUGAAAC